UACGGAGGAUGCAAGCGUUAUCCGGAUUCAUUGGGUUUAAAGGGUGCGUAGGCGGACUAUUAAGUCAGUGGUGAAAGUCUGUCGCUUAACGGUAGGAUUGCCAUUGAUACUGUUAGACUUGAAUAUGGAUGAGGUAGGCGGAAUGUGUAGUGUAGCGGUGAAAUGCAUAGAUAUUACACAGAACACCGAUUGCGAAGGCAGCUUACUAAUCCAUCAUUGACGCUGAGGCACGAAAGCGUGGGGAUCAAACA
rnacentral:rRNA from 1 species